rnacentral:lncRNA from 1 species
CUCACAUGUAAUCUAAACAAGAACUCUACAAGAGAGGUAUCCAGAGCCACAUUUUAUAGAUAAGGAAAUUGAGGCUCAGAGAGGACUAGAAAUUUGGCUAAGCUCCUGCAGCUGAGUUGGGGGCUGCAUCUGACAAGUGGCCGUGGUUUCAAGUCUCUGGAGUCCCAUUUUUUUCUCUUCCAUGGAGUUUGUUUGCUGCAGUUUGAGGAGCCGAGGCAUAUGAUAAAUACCAGGUGUCCUUAGAAGAAGAGGAGAUUGGGCCCCAGACACACAUGCACAGAAGAAAGACCACGUGAAGACAGAGGGAGAAGACGGCGAUCUACAAACCAAGGAAACAUCCUCAGAAUGAAACCAACCUUGCCAACCCCUGAUCCUAGACCUCCAGCCUCCACAACGGUGAGGACAUUAAUUUCUGUUGUUUAAAUGGCGCAGUCUGUUGUACUUUGUUAUGGCAGCCCCAGAAAACUCACAUAGGUAGGGACUAGGCUGGCUUUGGUGUAUCACUGCAGUCUCAGAGCUCAGUACUGAGUAGGUGCUCACUGAAUUUUCCCUGGAGGGUGUGGAGGUGCUGGGGGUGGGGUCAGCAGCACUGGGAUUGCUUCAGUUUCCAUCUGCUGCUUUUCCUCCAGGGUUGCUCCCAGAACCACCCUUUCCUGUUUGCAGGCCUGAGGUCUUUGGACUCAGAUGGAAUUAUACCACGGGGUUUCCUGGGUCUCCAGCAUGCAGAUGGCAGAUUGUGGAACUUCUCAGCCUCCAAAAUCGAGUGAGCCAAUUCCCAUCAUAAAUCCCCUCUCCUGUGUCUAAAUAUGUCCUAUUGCUUCUCUUUCUCUGGAGAAUGCUGACUAAUACAGACAUAAUACAGCAGUCUUUG